GGCAGCGGCCGGGUCUAGCGGUGGCUGCGGAAGGAGGAGGUGGAGGAGGGCUGGCGAUGAGAACCAGCAGGAGGAAUCAAGGACAAGAAGGGACCCAGAGGGGCAGGUGGCUGAGAUGCUGGCGUCCAGGUGACCCGAGGAAUCCUCUGGAGAUAGAGGCCCGCGCAUGCGCGUGCUCGAGCGCUGAAGCCCAUGGCCCGCAGGGCGCUGGACGGGCGCCCCGGCCGGCGAGGCUGUCCCGUCCAGGCUCCAGGCCCCGGCUCUGGCCAGGCGCCGCCGCUCCCCAGUGCAGCUGAAAGUCGACGAAGAGGGCGGGGCGAGGGCGGCUUGUGGACUUCCACACUUUUCCUCUCUUCGGGCCAGUCCGGGGAGAGGGUGGCUAGCUGUGGCGGCGGCCAAUUACGUGGCGGACCUGCGGGGCUCAGCUGGCACGUCACUUCCGACUGGUGGAGUUUUAGCCUUUUAACAUUCAAGGAUUAGGCACAGUGAAAAACCCGAGGACCCUUACCUCAAGUGUCCUUUGCUCCCAGCUACUGAUACUGGAUUCCACUCAUGAUUCUCCCUUUGUUAGCGCAUUCAUGAUAUGGACGUCAGUGUCUGAGCUGGAGGAGGACAAAGGCAGAGGUCCUGUGAAUUCUAUGCUCUAGCUCGGAUUAAGGGAUUUGGAAUUGCACUUGUUCCAGAGAGCUCCCUCUUUGCCCACUAGCAGGGCAAUAGCUGGUGCUGAAAACAGUGGCUGCUUGGCAAGCCUGGAUCUCCAAGUGACUCCAAGUGACCCCCUCAGCAACUCCUGAUGAACAGGACUGAAACCAAUAAUAAGGCAAGUCGACCAAAGGUUCUGUGGUGUAGACAAGACAACAAAAGGACAGACUACCUGUGGAACCUAGCAUUGUUCUUCUGCAGCACUACGUAACAUUUGUGCUCCGUAAGAUCUUUGCAAACCACACACAAGAAUUGCUGGUCAUCCUGCCAAUAGAUGCUGCUCACAGAACCAAAUUUCCUGUGCUGGAUUGUCACUCAUGGGCUUGAGAGUAGGAGACUGGAGACCAAGGUGGCUAGAAUCCAGUUGGGCCUGACAUCUCCCUGUUGAAAGAGCUCCUUGUGGAAUGGACAGCACAUGGCUCCCGUGGUGGAUCUGAUAGUGGUACAGCACCAAGUGAUGCAGGCCUGCCUGGGCCACGGCCACAGAAGAUGCUCCCAGGGUCCCCCGUGUACUCCAGACACACUGCAGGCCACCUCUCCCAGCAGGUUCCUAGUCAUGGGCCCCAUCAUCAUGACUUCUGUCCAAAGUGUGCUCAGAAAUCUCUUCCUUAACACCUGUGACUUUCUGACAGGUGGAGGAUGUGGUCAGGAAUGGGAAAAGGAUUCAAGACAGGAAGAGGGAGGGGUUCAGGAUGAAGAGAGAUAAUCUGUGCCACAGAUGCUGGCCCUGCAGUUACCUCGCACCUAGUCCAUGCACACACAUUCUAAUCCCCUCCCAUUCCUCUACAUGCUGCGGCCAGAGAGGCCUUUCUCAAAGUGGAAGUCUCAUCCUCACUUCUCUGGUUACAGUGCUGGGCCAUGAAUGACUUACAAGGCUUAGCAGGAACUGUCUGCACACUCCCUGCUCCUGCCUGCUACCUUGUUUCCCUCCAGUCGGGAGAGCAAACAUUGAUUGAGCAUUAACAAUGUGCCAGGCUUGUCCUAAGUCCUUCAUAUGUAUUCACUCAAACAAUCCUCACAACAUUCCUGUCACACCUCCUGUUUCACAGUGAGGGUUCUAAAGCACGCAGUGGGUGAGGAACUUGUCCAGGGUCACACAACUAAGUGGGGGUGGAGAAACAUCAAAUCUAGGUGGUCCAGGUGGUGGCCAGAACCCAUCAGCACCUCACUACAGCUGCCUCCAGCUUCUCCCUCUAGGAAAUACUCUUCCCUGUCAACUCCUGUUGUCCUCUGGGCUCAGUUGACAUGUCAUCUCCUCAAGGAGGACAUCCUGAGAUGCUCCCCGACUAGGGUGGGCACCCACUUCCACACUCCAAAUGCAUAUCUAUUUGACGUGUGUAUUGCUGCAUCCCCACUGCAUGGCAGAUAGCAGGCCCCUAAUAAGUAUGAUUUGAGCAAAUAAAUAUAGUUAUUCAAAAAAUAGGGAGGACUUCUUGUUUCUAGUAAUGGUGGGCUAGGACAUUUGGACCAACCCUCCUGCAGAAAAUAGCCAUUUAUUUUGAUGCAAUAUACCUGGCUAUGACUAUAGAGAUUUCACAUAUUUGGAGGGCUAUUAUGUGAAGAUUUAUACUUAUUCUUGGUGACAUAGAGGUUAGAAAUUGGUCGUUUCCAUAGAGUAUGAGAGAGACAGAAUUGUGCUCAUCAUAAGGAUCUUUUUUAAAAAUUAGACUUAAUAAAAUGGGCUGCUUUGGUAGGUGGUGAGUUGUCUGUCACGAAAGAGAUUCAGCCACUUGCUCUGAGAAAGCUGGAGAAUAUCAACAUUGCAAGGGUCGGCCACCUCAUCUCUGAGGCCCCCUCCUCGCUUAGGUUGCCAUUGUACGUGGAACACUGGGCUGAGUGUCACAGAACUUGGGUUCCACAAGCUAUACGAUCAUGGCUGGUUAUUUUUGGAUCUAUUCCUAGUAUCUGUUAGUUAAGCUGACCCAUCAGUACUGACCCACUUCACAGAGUUACGAAGGGAUUAAAUUUGGUAUUACAUAUAAAUUUUUAUUUUGUUUGCUUUUUGUUGUUUUUUGUUUUGCUUUUUUCUUUGCAUUAUGAAAUCCCGUCAACUUUUUCCAUUCUUUUAUUUCUUAAAAAAUUGAUAUCAUCAUAACAAAAUAAUUUUUAAAAUAAAAAUAAAAAAACCCUGCAACCCCACUAUCUAAUACAAUAAUCAUACUUUUUUCUCUCUAUUCUCUUUUAUUGUGACCAAGGAUGACUUCGGGCAUUGAUGUGAGGAACUAUUUCGUUUAACACCCUGCUAUCUGAACAUGAUUCACACUCAGCCUUUCACCACCCCCCAAGUACUACACAUGAUAUGAUAAUAGUAUUGGUGGUGGUUUUAGAGAGUUGGAGAGAAAACUGAAGUUGGAUUUGGGUAAAAGAAAAAAGAGUGGGCAUUAUGUUUUCUCCAUUCUAAAGCCUAUAGAGCAAUGUUAAUUGUUCCCACCCCUCUGCUAUUCUGUCUCUUCAGGUACUGUGUGUAGAAAUGUGAUUGAGAUUCAAGUCAGGGCCUCUGCCCUUUUCCCUCCAGAAACAAAACCAAGAUAAUUUAUCCUGAACACACACGGUGAAAAAAGGAAGGAAGGGAGCGGGGAGAAAAAGUCCAGGUCUUACCUGGGAUUCUCUGUCUCCUGCAACAUGAAGGGUUUAGCCUGGGAGGAGGUGGUGAGAACUCUGGGAGAGAAAAAAGAAGGAAAGAAUAGUUUUACCCAUGCUGAAGUUAAACCUUUACCUAGAGAAGCAAAACAAACAAACAAACAAACACUGUUCCAUUUUGUGCCUCCCUUCCUAGAGUUUUGGCCAAAGGUUUAACUAAGUAAUUGGUUUUACCAGGGCACUCACUCCUCUUAUCCCGAGUCUGUUUGCCUCCCUCCCCAUCAUCCUCCUCACCUCUUUCAGGCAGGGUGGGGACAGCAGCAGGAGGAGAUUCUGGGAGCUUGGCAACUCCUGUAAGGACCGCAGGACAGCCCCUCUGUGGGGAUGCAUGGUGCUCCAUCUGCCGUCCUUCUGAGAAGAAGAAUGUACUGCCUUCACUUUACUGUGUUAAGAGUCCAUCCAGACGGUUCUAUCCAAAGAAUAGUUUCUUUUUUCCCCAACAGGCAAUCAGGAAAUGAUUCCUUUCCCGACUACUUUUGUCUAGUGCCUGGGAAUCUUGAGUCAAUCCCUCAGUAAGUCAGUGACUAAGGAAAUCUCCCCUCUCUGAGCCUCCCAGUUCAUGUUGCUUAGGGAACCUGAUAUUUUCAUGAAAUCUGCCUACACAUGGGCAGCCCAACAGCAGAGCUAAUGGUGGUGACCAAAGUGAACAAAGAAGUACAGUUGUGCCAGCUUCCUAGUUGCCCAUGUGGACAAGUCAGCAGGAUCAGGACACGAGGAAGAGUAAAUGUGAGACAGUCAUGUGACUUCUGCGAUAAUAUUCUAGAUUUUUAAACCCUGAAAUUUUGCUAAAAUUUUGGUGAAACCCUGAACUUUCUUCAUUGCAUAUACUGGCCCUAUCUGUACCAUCAUACAGCUAUCUCACAUUAAAGCUAUUUUUCUUCAGCACUGAUGAGUAAGGUUGGUAUGUUUGAGUUCCUCAGAUCAACAAAAACCCAUUUUCCUGUAAGUCUUAUGUUUAGUAUUUAAGGAACUAAAACUUAAAUACAUUGUGUGAAAUGCUUGACACUUCACUGAUAAUGAUUUAUUGCUUGGAUUAAUAAAUUUUCCAAAAGUUGUCUUAUUAUGUAGAAUAUGGUUUGCAACCAGCAGAACCAUUAAUCUAUACUGUGAUAAAAUGCGCUAUGUAUAAUUGUUUAAAAGCUUCUACUUAAUGAUGUAACAUGCUGUAUUUAAUUACACAUUUGGCUAAACUGUAUACUAACAUCUGAUGGCAUUUUUCCAGUGUGUUGCUUUUUUCAAAUACUUUAUUGUAGAAAGCUGUUCU
ensembl:lncRNA